rnacentral:rRNA from 2 species
UCGAACGAACUCUGGUAUUGAUUGGUGCUUGCAUCAUGAUUUACAUUUGAGUGAGUGGCGAACUGGUGAGUAACACGUGGGAAACCUGCCCAGAAGCGGGGGAUAACACCUGGAAACAGAUGCUAAUACCGCAUAACAACUUGGACCGCAUGGUCCGAGCUUGAAAGAUGGCUUCGGCUAUCACUUUUGGAUGGUCCCGCGGCGUAUUAGCUAGAUGGUGGGGUAACGGCUCACCAUGGCAAUGAUACGUAGCCGACCUGAGAGGGUAAUCGGCCACAUUGGGACUGAGACACGGCCCAAACUCCUACGGGAGGCAGCAGUAGGGAAUCUUCCACAAUGGACGAAAGUCUGAUGGAGCAACGCCGCGUGAGUGAAGAAGGGUUUCGGCUCGUAAAACUCUGUUGUUAAAGAAGAACAUAUCUGAGAGUAACUGUUCAGGUAUUGACGGUAUUUAACCAGAAAGCCACGGCUAACUACGUGCCAGCAGCCGCGGUAAUACGUAGGUGGCAAGCGUUGUCCGGAUUUAUUGGGCGUAAAGCGAGCGCAGGCGGUUUUUUAAGUCUGAUGUGAAAGCCUUCGGCUCAACCGAAGAAGUGCAUCGGAAACUGGGAAACUUGAGUGCAGAAGAGGACAGUGGAACUCCAUGUGUAGCGGUGAAAUGCGUAGAUAUAUGGAAGAACACCAGUGGCGAAGGCGGCUGUCUGGUCUGUAACUGACGCUGAGGCUCGAAAGUAUGGGUAGCAAACAGGAUUAGAUACCCUGGUAGUCCAUACCGUAAACGAUGAAUGCUAAGUGUUGGAGGGUUUCCGCCCUUCAGUGCUGCAGCUAACGCAUUAAGCAUUCCGCCUGGGGAGUACGGCCGCAAGGCUGAAACUCAAAGGAAUUGACGGGGGCCCGCACAAGCGGUGGAGCAUGUGGUUUAAUUCGAAGCUACGCGAAGAACCUUACCAGGUCUUGACAUACUAUGCAAAUCUAAGAGAUUAGACGUUCCCUUCGGGGACAUGGAUACAGGUGGUGCAUGGUUGUCGUCAGCUCGUGUCGUGAGAUGUUGGGUUAAGUCCCGCAACGAGCGCAACCCUUAUUAUCAGUUGCCAGCAUUAAGUUGGGCACUCUGGUGAGACUGCCGGUGACAAACCGGAGGAAGGUGGGGAUGACGUCAAAUCAUCAUGCCCCUUAUGACCUGGGCUACACACGUGCUACAAUGGAUGGUACAACGAGUUGCGAACUCGCGAGAGUAAGCUAAUCUCUUAAAGCCAUUCUCAGUUCGGAUUGUAGGCUGCAACUCGCCUACAUGAAGUCGGAAUCGCUAGUAAUCGCGGAUCAGCAUGCCGCGGUGAAUACGUUCCCGGGCCUUGUACACACCGCCCGUCACACCAUGAGAGUUUGUAACACCCAAAGUCGGUGGGGUAACCUUUUAGA